UACGUAGGGUGCAAGCGUUGUUCGGAUUUACUGGGCGUAAAGGGCGUGUAGGCGGACGCGUAAGUCAGAGGUGAAAUCCCGGGGCUCAACCCCGGAACUGCUUUUGAAACUGCGUGUCUAGAGUGUGUGAGAGGAGAGCGGAAUUCCAGGUGUAGAGGUGAAAUUCGUAGAUAUCUGGAGGAACACCAGCGGCGAAAGCGGCUCUCUGGCGCAUCACUGACGCUGAGGCGCGAAAGCGUGGGUAGCAAACAGG
rnacentral:misc_RNA from 1 species